UGGGGAAUAUUGCGCAAUGGGCGAAAGCCUGACGCAGCAACGCCGCGUGAGUGAUGAAGGCCUUCGGGUCGUAAAGCUCUGUCGGAGGGAACGAAUGCUCUUGAGGUUAACAGCCUCGGGAGGUGACGGUACCCUCAAAGGAAGCACCGGCUAACUACGUGCCAGCAGCCGCGGUAAUACGUAGGGUGCAAGCGUUAAUCGGAAUUACUGGGCGUAAAGCGUGCGCAGGCGGCUUUGCAAGACAGGUGUGAAAUCCCCGGGCUUAACCUGGGAACUGCAUUUGUGACUGCAAGGCUGAAGUGCGGCAGAGGGGGAUGGAAUUCCGCGUGUAGCAGUGAAAUGCGUAGAUAUGCGGAAGAACACCAGUGGCGAAGGCGGCCAACUGGCUCGAUACUGACGCUGAGGUGCGAAAGCGUGGGGAGCAAACAGGAUUAGAUACCCAAGUAGUCCCUGAGCGGGCUGGCAAGGCGCAU
rnacentral:rRNA from 1 species